UGGAGGGCCCCGUGCUGCCGUCGUAGCCGUGGAGGCUCCACUUGCUGCUGCGGCGCAGGCACACCAGCCCCGUGGGCAAAUGGAUAGAAUCGAAGAAUCCAGUUUAAAAUUCGUAACGCUCAAACCAGUCUUAGACUUCACUGCAGCUCCACACCUACUAAGAACUCAUACAGACUGGCCUAAUCACACUUGGGGAAAGUGAUGCCCUUUAGCCUUCCUGCUUUGGAUACUAAGUACUAUUAGUUCCCUACAAACCCAGUCAUCAAAGCAAAUCCAGUGAAUUCAUCGUGAUCAUGAUUUGAACUGUUUUCACAAGACAGCGGCCAGAAGACACUACUAUUAAACUGCUGGACAUCAUUGUGCGUCUGUUCUCAACCAGCACGUCCAAGAGGCUCUGGCCCCAUCCUACUGAGAGAUUCUCCACCUGGGAUAUUGACAACCAACAGAUUGUCCUAAUGCCAGUCAAGAUCCUACUGUCAGUC